rnacentral:rRNA from 1 species
GUCGAGAAUAAUUCACAAUGGGGGAAACCCUGAUGGUGCAACGCCGCGUGGAGGAUGAAGGUCUUCGGAUUGUAAACUCCUGUCAUCUGGGAGUAAGACCUGACGGUGAAUAGCCGGCAGGGUUGAUAGUACCAGAAGAGGAAGGGACGGCUAACUUCGUGCCAGCAGCCGCGGUAAUACGAAGGUCCCAAGCGUUGUUCGGAAUCACUGGGCGUAAAGGGAGCGUAGGCGGCGUGGUAAGUCAGAUGUGAAAUCCCGGGGCUCAACCCCGGAACUGCAUCCGAUACUGCCAUGCUUGAGGGUUGGAGAGGUAGCUGGAAUUCUCGGUGUAGCAGUGAAAUGCGUGGAUAUCGAGAGGAACACUCGUGGCGAAGGCGAGCUACUGGACAACAUCUGACGCUGAGGCUCGAAGGCCAGGGGAGCAAAAGGGAUUAGAAACCCCGGUAGUCC